GCCGCCGCAGUGCCGCUGGUGCGCACGGUCGCCUGGUACGCGACAGGUCGGGGUUCGAUCCCCCGCGACGGCU
rnacentral:tRNA from 2 species